rnacentral:lncRNA from 1 species
CUUUCAGAGAGAGAGAGAAUGUGUGUAUAACCCUUUAACUUUUUUGAUGGUGAGAAGAUAUAAUGAAAAGGAAAAAGGUCCCCCGCAUCCGCCAGACCCCCUUUUUCCGGAUUUAAUUCUCUUUUUUCUUUAUUCCUAUUGUACCGUUGGAACAAGAACGUUUCCUUUUUUUGUUUUUUCUGUCUUUCUCCAUAAAUCCGUUGAGAGAGGACACGUAGGGAGUGCAAGUGUUACUCCCACCGAAAAAUUCUUUUCUUUUUUCUUUUUUUGUUCUUAUCGUCCUAGCUCAUGAGAGAUUUAUG